rnacentral:lncRNA from 1 species
CGGCAGCUGUGGGGAUUCGUUAUUCUCCGAGGUUGGCGGGCUCGACGCGAGGCUCGAUGGGGCUGCGGGAUUGUCAAGCAGGUAAAGUUCGCCAACUCAUCCAGUUUGAUGCUUUUCAACUGCUGGAUAAUGGUUUCGUGCCAUGCGUCGUCUCCAUGUAUUUACUAAAACAUUUACUAUGCUCUUCUAUUUGGAGAAAGAAGCAUGGUGCAGCCUACCAAGCUGGGGAGAGCCAUAUAAUGCCCAUCUUGGAAUUAGCUGUUCGACUGAGAUGUGCUGGACAAAAAUAUUACCAGUUCCUUUGAGUAUGCUUGACUUGUAUAAUGUGAUUUUCAUUUUUUAGAGUGAAUUACAUAAUAUAUAGAUAUGCAUUAUUUUGGCUUUAGUAACUAUUUUUCUCAUGUUUAGAAACAUGCGAGGUUGGGGGGGUCUUCUAGCAUUCCAAUCUGCACUACUUUUGCUUUGUUUCAUCGACAGACAUCAUGCAAUUGAAAUAGUUUGAUUCAGGACACCAAGCAUUUGGGAAAGUGGCAUGAUGCUGGUCCUUGAAAUUGAUGUUCUUAGUGAUUUAUGAUGGAGUUUUAUCUGAAUUUAACAUCGCUGUCCUCAACAUCAAUUUUGUUGACUCAUAGGCGGGUGAUUGCUCAACGAUGACUGGAGACGAUCUUCGGUAUUACAACUGGUUUAUACCAAUGGGUUAUUUGCAUCUCAAGUUAAAUUAGUCACUGUUGAUCAACAAUGAGAUGUGGCCAUUGUUUGAUGGAUCAU